rnacentral:lncRNA from 1 species
CCUUCCCUAAGUUCUCCCAGGGCGCUGCCAGAGCCCUGCCGGCUAAGGGAUGGGGAAACAAACAGUCAUCCAGAGUAAAGUCAUAGGGCUCAAAGUCUUUCCGGAAGCGGCGAGCCAGGGUCUCCUCGUCUUCCUUGCUGAUCUGACACUGCCUCCAGUCAGACUUAUCAGGAACAUUAAGGAUGGCUUCACUGGCCAGGACCUCCCUGCAGAAAUAGCACAAAGAAGUCAAAAUGGAAACUAUCAGCCUGAGCUCUCCUCAACAUCACCCAAAGGAGGUAUGCAAAUUUCUCUGACUUUGCUCUCCUGCCCUGAGUGCCAUCUCUGCCAUACUAUUGAUCAAAAUCAUACCCGUUUUAAAUGACCAGCUCAGGUACUAUAUAUUUCCUGAUCCUUCAAACCCCACUUGCUUCUCCCUCUCUUAAAAAACUUGGAACUAUAUUAUUGGUACUUAGAGAAGCAACACCACAUAGAAAAAGGGCAGGCCCUGGUGUGAGAAAGAUCAGAGACUGGAUCCCAUUUCCAGCUUUGCCACUUGCUAUCUAUGAUCUAGACAGAUGAUUUCAUCUCUGAGUCUUGAUUUCCUCACCUAUGAAAUGCAAAUAAGAACACCCACCAUACAGGGUUUUUGUGAGGUACAGAGAUAACACAGUCAAAGUGCCAUAUUAGCUGUGAUUACAACCUGCCUUAAACUGUAGUUUUGUCACCUCAACUAGACAUGAGUUUGCAGAGUCAGGAGCCUAGUCAUACCCACUCUGAUUUAAAAUUCCUCUGCCUCUCCUUCUAGGGGACUCAGGCCCACGUAACAGCAGCACAAGCCCAAUGUCAACAAAACAACUAUCUUGGCUCUUAGGACUAAAGAAUAACUACAUACAGACACACUCACACACAAGCUGCCUUCUAAUCGCCAUUGCUUUAUAUUUUUAUUUUUACUUAUUUUGAUAUAUUAGAAAUAAUUCUAUUACACAUUUAUAUGGUUCAUUUUCCACUUUGAAGUUACAGUAAAUAGAAGAGUUAGAAACAAAUCAUGAAUUCUCUAUAAGUCAAAGAACCUAAGCUCCCUGGGCAAACUUUGAGCCUAUUUCAAAUAUAAAAGGAAAAUAGAACUACCUUUCUUGUACAGCUGAAAAAAAUAUGCCAUUUCAAAUAUUUUGUUAACUAUAAAAUGCUAUAUAACUAUAAAUUAGUAUCUUGAUAAUUACUCAAUAUUGAAAAUACAUCAUAAGCACAAAACCAUUCAGAGAAUCUUCUUUUUGUGUGCUUUAUACGCCUAUGUGUAUCUGCAAUCGUGUGCUUAUGUUGUCAAUGUUCAUAACCGCAUCUGUUGCUGAGGCAACAACGAAAACAUCACGUCAGAUGUCUGAAUCUCGUAGCACACUUGUUCCCAUUUAUCUUUUUGAAAAAUGUAGACAACUACAUUUACUGGACUUAUCUAAGGGGGCAAUCUCUUGGAGGCUUUCUGAAUUAGUCCAAGACAGGUUCAAGGCUCACUCAAAGCCCAUUUUUAACUAGGGGAGAAAAAACAGCUGCAAAUCACAGACACCAGCAUCAGAUACUCUGUUCUACACAUUUUCCACUCCCCUUCAAACUGUAUCUUCUUGCCAGCAACUUCCCAUCUUCAAUCUUUGCUUAAGUUAUGUUACUCCCUCUAUGGUUUUGCAGUCAUGUUUUGCCUGAUACGAGGAACAGAACUGAAGCCUCCUCUAGGCCUUUACCAUACUGUAGAACACUGAGGUUAAGACCUCAAGUUUUGAGGUCCAACAGGCCUGGGUUUGAACCUACCACUGUGUGACUAGGACAAGCUACCUAAGCUCUCUACAGCCUGCUAUCCAGUGGGGUAACCAUUAGCCAGGUAUGGCUAUUUAAAUUUAAAUUCUAAUUAAUUAAAUAAAAUCAAAAAUUUAGUUCCUCAGUCACAUUAGCCACAUUUCAGCACUCAGUGGCCACAAGUGGCUAGUCACAACUGUAUUGGACAGUGCAGAUAUUUGAGCAUUUCCAUCGUUGUGAAAAGUCUACCGGGCACUGCUCUAGAGCCUCAUUUUCCACACUGGUAAAUCGGGAUGACAGUACCUACCUUACAGAGUUAUGAAGAUUAAAUGAGUCAUGUAUGUGUAAAGUUCUUGGUACAGUUCUUGGCACAGAGUAUGUGCUCAAUUAAAGUUCCCUAGCACUUCUGGCUAGAAUGCCCUCACCUCAAUCUUUGCCCUCUAAAUAUGCCUCUCAGGUUCAACUUUGCCACUUUCAUGAAGGCUUUCACCAACUAGAAAUGAGCUGUCCCUUUUCUGAAUUUCUACAGCACAUUGUUCUCCAAAACUCUGUCAUGGUACUCUUCACAUUCUACAUUACAUUACUGUCAUAUAUGUAAACAUCUGCCCUAAGACCAUGGGUCCUCUGGGGCAAGGACUGUUUACAAUUUAGCUUUUUAUCAAUUGUCCCAUGUAGCCCACCACUCUGUUCAUAGCAGGUCUAGUGAAAAUACAUUGAAAAGAAGAAAAACAUACCUUCCAAACUGCAAAGGAAAAUUCUUUUUAAUUCUGUGGAAAAGCUUUUCUCCUGUGUCAAGUUCAACAUAAAAAUAUGCUGCUCCUGGCUGUGCAAUCUAAAGUAAACAGAGUUGUAUGAGGAUGUCCAAUAAUGCUUUAAAAAUCUAUAAUCUGAGUUCAUCUCUAGGCAAAUAAUUCAGUCUAAAUGCACAAGAAAAAAAGAUAUGUAUGUUGCUAUAGAUCCCAAGCCACUUAGUGGAACUAGGGCUUAAAAAGUCUAACUGGAAGAUACUAACAAUAUCCUCCCAGUGGCGUCUAUCCUUCUAAGUUCCUACCUUAGGAAAUUCUAAUUUCUUGCUCUUCCCAGGAAAGCACUAAACUUUGGAGUAAUGCCCUGUUCAUCUCCAGUCUAGUCAAUACCCAGUGCUCUAGUUCCAAAUUGUCCACUGCCUCUUUUUUUUUUUUUUUUUUUUAGAGACAGGGUCUUGCGAUGUUGCCCAGGCUGAAGUACAGUGGUGCAAUCAUACCUCACUGCAUCCUCAAACUCCUAGGCUUAAGUGAUCCUCCUGACUCUCAGCCUCCUGAGUAGCUAAGACUACAGGCACAUGCCACCAUGCCAAGCUUAUUUUUUUAUUUUUUGUAGAGACAAGGUGUCUCACUUUGUUGCCCAGGCUGGUAUCAAACUCCUGGCUUCAAGUGCUCCUCCCGCCUCAGCCUCCCAAAGUGUUGGAUUACAGGUGUGAGCUACCAUGCCCAACCCAUUGCCUAUUUAAUAACAUUUUUGGAAUGCCUUGAUAGCUCAACAUGUCAAAAACCUUAGGCUCAACAUGUCAAAAACCAGAUCUUGCCAGGCGUGGGUGGCUCAUGCCUGUAAUACCUUCGGGAGGCCAAGGCAGGCAGAUCACAAGGUCAGGAGUUCGAGACCAGCCUGGCCAAUAUGGUGAAACCCCGUCUCGACUAAAAAUACAAAAAGUAGCCAGGUAUGGUGGCGCAUGCCUGUAGUCCCAGCUACUGGGGAGGCUGAGGCAGGAGAAUCACUUGAACCCGGAAGGCGGAGGUUGCAGUGAGCCAAGAUCAUGCCACUGCACUCCAACCUAGGCAACAGAGCAAGACUCUGUCUCAAACAAACAAACAAACAACAAACAACAACAAAAAAAACAGAUAUUUACUCUUCCCUGAAUAUCACCAUCCCCUGUUUCACCUGCUUGAUGUCAGAGUGCUCUGGGAUUUCCAACAGCUCUAUCUGCUGCUCCUGUGCCUGGGUAAUGAAGGCAUCUUUAAUGUCAUCAGUAGUAGAGCAGCUGAUUGGGACAGGAAUGACCUGGGGGUUGGGGAGACAGGAGAAAUUCCUUGUGCAGGUCCCAGAGAAGUUGUGCCUGCACAGUCUCUGAGAAGUAGCAAAUCCAUCACAGGGGUGGAGAAACACCCCUCAGCACAGAAUAUCCUCAGGCCAGACAAGCCUGUGUCAGCCUGUCUGUAAGGACUUAAACUUAUGAGAUAGCCUGACACAUGUGGGAGCCAUUCUCUGAUGCAGGAAAGGCUUAAGAGAGAUAUCUCCGUCACAAGCCUUUGCCAUCUCCGAUAUUAUAUAUGUGGCAGAGUUAGGCCCAUUUGAAAACUUAACAAAUGUGCCAAAAAGAAAACCACCACAACUACAAAUGAUUUACAAUCUGAUUUUCUGAGCUGCUAGCCCCAUGCAGGCUUUGAGACUAUUUCCUACCACUAAGCUUUCCCUCAUGCUGGGCCUCCACACAAAAUACUCACUUUCUUCCAAAUUCUUAUCCAGCAAGCCCCACAUCUUCCUUGGAACUUCCUCAACUACCCAUUCCUUUUCUAAACAAGGAACUUACUAUCUAUGCUGUUUACAUGUACUGACCACACACUUCCCUGUGAAGUCUCUGGGGUUACCACCAGAUACUCUUUAAAAACUUUUUAAAUGAAUGUUAUUUAAAUAUUAAUAUAAAAAUAUUAAAUAUUUUACAUAUUAAAGCUAAACUUUAUAUAAUUUUUUUUUUAAAGAUGGAGUCUCGCUCUGUUGCCCAGGCUGGAGUGCAGUGGCACAAUCUCGGCUCACUGCAACCUCUGCCUCCCAGGUUCAAGCUAUUCUCCUGUCUCAGCCUCCCGAGUAGCUGGGAUUACAGGCAUGCACCACCACGCCCAGCUAAUUUUUUUGUACUUUUAGUAGAGACAGGGUUUCACCGUGUUGCCCAGGCUGGUCUUGAACUCCUGAGCUCAGGCAAUCCAACCGCUUCGGCCUCCCAAAGUGCUAGGAUUACAGGCGUGAGCCACCUCGCCCAGCCUAUUUAAAUACUUAUUUACCAAUAUCAAAGUCCCCAUAGCGCCCUUCCAAGUUUCUAUGAACAGACCACCUACCUGUAGCUGGAGGUGAUGGCUCUUAUAAUUUCUCUCAAAUACAACACACCAUUUCCCUCGACUCUUAAAGAACCGUCUCAGAGUGGCCUUAUACUUCUCCACCUCUUCUACCACCUCUGCUGAAAGCUCCACCACUGACUGGUAGUGUCCAAUAGGCAGGAUGAGGACAUGGUCAUCAGAUAAGCCUCCUUUGGCCAGGGCAAGGUAGCACUGAAGAAGCAGCACACAGAAUUGAGACAUCAAUACAGCAUGUAGGAUUCUCCAGGGAGAAAAACCUAUACAAAAAGUGAGCCUGAGGGUGUAGGCGAAAAGUACUUGAGGUUAUUAAUAAAAAUUCUUUCUUGAAAAAAUCUGAUUUUAGAGAUUGUAGCAACAAUGUUCUCAGGUAUCCGCUGAAGAGUGAGAUUCGGCAUGAAAAUUUCUAUGCAAGUAGCAAAUGAACUAGGAGCAAAUGAAUUGGGAGAGGCACACAAGCAGGCUUUUGGCUUCAAACACACUGAGCUGAGGGAGACCAGAACAAAUCGCUGGGUUUUCCCUCCCAUGCUCCAAACUUGAAAACAGUUUUUCAGUUUUUAUCACCCUCAACCACAAAAAGAUACAACUUCUGAUUUCAAAAUGACCACUUUCGGCUGGGAUAGUGGCUCACGCUUGUAAUCCCAAAACUUUGAGAGGCCGAGGCAGGUGGACCGCCUGAGGUCAGAAGUUCCAGACUAGGCUGACCAAUAUGGUGAAACCUCAUUUCUACUAAAAAU